rnacentral:lncRNA from 1 species
AUGGUCUGUGUUGCAAAAAUGCUCUGCACUGUGGACCAUUGUUUAAAGAAAAUUCUCUUAAAAAAAUACAAACAACCAACAUCUAACAACCAAAUGAUGCCAAUGAAGGGAAAAGGCAAGGUUUCAAAACAAACAAACAAACUGGAGUCCAUUGUUUCUGGUGCUUUCAGUAUUGGUUUACUUCAGUACAGCCAUUUUUUGCUUACAGAGUUUUAAUGAUUUCAAAACAAAGGAUAUCCAAACAAACAAAGUGAGGGGAGUACUUAAUACACCUUAUUUUCUGCUUUUAUUGAAAAGAGAAGCUAAGGUUGACCUGGAGGCAUAGUUCUGUGCAAUGUCAGAUCUGUUGUAGGUCCAAUACCAGUCCUGUUUGUUUGUCUCUGACAUUUUUAAGGGUUGGGAGUGCAGUAUGGGCUGCAUGCUGAGUUGUUAAAAAUGUUUGUGGAGUGUCUGAUGUCAAUCACCAUCAGCCUUCCAGCUGCUUGAGGACCAUCACUGGCAAAAUCCUAUGGGAGCUCUCUCUCUCAUCCUCAAGUGUAACAAAAAAGGAAGCAGAAAUCCCUGGUAUGAUAAAAAUGAAAAAAGAUAAUCAGGGAAUUCUUAGGCUUUGAGAGAAAACAUGGAGUACCAUGUGUUGAGUCAGAGAACACAGCAAAAGGUACAGCCAUUUUUGAUCAGAAUGCAGUUUUGUGGAAAGAGCUCAUGAGAAUUACCAUGUGAAUUACUGAGCCCGAGUCUGAGUUCUCACUCUUCCUUAGUUUUCUAGCUCAGUAACUAGCAACAUUUAAUGUCCUCAGACCUUCUGUAAUUGAGAAUAAAUGACAGCUAAGGCAGGCCCUCUGUUAGCUA